CGGCGUGCCUAAUACAUGCAAGUCGAGCGGAUCUUUGGGAGCUUGCUCCCGAAGAUUAGCGGCGGACGGGUGAGUAACACGUGGGCAACCUGCCUAUGAGACUGGGAUAACUCCGGGAAACCGGGGCUAAUACCGGAUAAUUCUUUUCUACACAUGUAGAAAAGCUGAAAGAUGGUUUCGGCUAUCACUCAUAGAUGGGCCCGCGGCGCAUUAGCUAGUUGGUGAGGUAACGGCUCACCAAGGCGACGAUGCGUAGCCGACCUGAGAGGGUGAUCGGCCACACUGGGACUGAGACACGGCCCAGACUCCUACGGGAGGCAGCAGUAGGGAAUCUUCCGCAAUGGACGAAAGUCUGACGGAGCAACGCCGCGUGAGUGAUGAAGGUUUUCGGAUCGUAAAACUCUGUUGUUAGGGAAGAACAAGUACCGGAGUAACUGCCGGUACCUUGACGGUACCUAACCAGAAAGCCACGGCUAACUACGUGCCAGCAGCCGCGGUAAUACGUAGGUGGCAAGCGUUGUCCGGAAUUAUUGGGCGUAAAGCGCGCGCAGGUGGUCUCUUAAGUCUGAUGUGAAAGCCCCCGGCUCAACCGGGGAGGGUCAUUGGAAACUGGGAGACUUGAGUGCAGGAGAGAAGAGUGGAAUUCCACGUGUAGCGGUGAAAUGCGUAGAGAUGUGGAGGAACACCAGUGGCGAAGGCGACUCUUUGGCCUGUAACUGACACUGAGGCG
rnacentral:rRNA from 2 species